GUCCAAAACUGGUUGUAUGCUCCCUGUAUACAUCAGUAUACACUAGUAUACACCAUGAAAAUAUUAAUAUACAGGUCAAAAUGCAACAAACAAUAGACAAAAACAAAGAUACAGGUUUGAGGCAUCAAGGUGGACUGUACACAGUCGAUAUAUGGGUCGAUAUACAAGAAGUGGUGCUAAUAUGCAAGGUGUAUUACUGAUAUACGGCUUUUGUAUACAAAAAUGGGUUUUGAUUAAAACCCCAAAAGUAGCAGCAAAUUCGGCUAAGAAAGUCCAAGUUCAUCUUCUCCUUUAUUCCCUU
rnacentral:misc_RNA from 1 species